UAUGGAUAGUUUUGUUUCGCCAGCAUACAAUAUAAUUGCAGUUGAAGGCAAAUCCUUCAGAAGUUCUUUGUACUUUAUUCUAACAACGAACAUGUUUUGAUAGGGUAUAUAUAAGUAAGGGGGAAAGUAACCAAUUUUUUGUUCUUUACUCCGGUAUUUCCGCUGAUAUAGAUUUAUAUCGGAGAUACAAAUCCUUGAUCGGAGCACUCCCGCUUUGGAUAAGUAGGUUUCAUGCUGAAACAAUAUUCUCACAGAUAUUUACAAAGUGUGCUGGGGUGCUUUUAUGUUUAAAAUCGUUAUAUAGAGGUUAGACUGUGAUUUUAAAAACAAAUGUUGAUAUCUUUUUAUAAUGUUUACAACUAGAGGCUCUAAAGAGCAUGUGUCGCUCACCUUGGUCUUGUGCAUAUUAAACAAUGGACACGGAUAAAUUCAUGACAUAAUUGUGUUUUGGUGAUAGUGAUGUGUUUGUAGAUCUUACUUUACUGAACAUUCUUGUUGCUACAAUCAUCUCUAUCUAUAAUGAACUUGGCCC
rnacentral:lncRNA from 1 species